AGUGAACGCUGGCGGUAGGCCUAACACAUGCAAGUCGAACGGCAGCACAGUAAGAGCUUGCUCUUACGGGUGGCGAGUGGCGGACGGGUGAGGAAUACAUCGGAAUCUACUUUUUCGUGGGGGAUAACGUAGGGAAACUUACGCUAAUACCGCAUACGACCUACGGUUGAAAGCAGGGGAUCUUCGGACCUUGCGCGAUUGAAUGAGCCGAUGUCGGAUUAGCUAGUUGGCGGGGUAAAGGCCAACCAAGGCGACGAUCCGUAGCUGGUCUGAGAGGAUGAUCAGCCACACUGGAACUGAGACACGGUCCAGACUCCUACGGGAGGCAGCAGUGUGGAAUAUUGGACAAUGGGCGCAAGCCUGAUCCAGCCAUACCGCGUGGGUGAAGAAGGCCUUCGGGUUGUAAAGCCCUUUUGUUGGGAAAGAAAAGCAGCAGGUUAAUACCCCGCUGUUCUGACGGUACCCAAAGAAUAAGCACCGGCUAACUUCGUG
rnacentral:rRNA from 1 species